GGCACGGUGGCAUAGUGGUUAGCACUGUUGCCUCACAGCAAUAAGGUCGUGGGCUCAAUUCUGGCCUGGGGCC